rnacentral:misc_RNA from 1 species
AAGUCGUAACAAGGUUUCCGUAGGUGAACCUGCGGAAGGAUCAUUAACACGAUCCAAACGUUAAAACAACCCCCCCCGUGAACCUUCAUCCUGCUCUUGUAACCCGCGUAGUUCGCAAUCUCUGAUAAAUCAUAGCCCGGAAAGUUGUAGUGAUUCAGAGACCUCUGCCAAGGAUAGCGCUUCUACGAUUCCUGUAGACCGUACACUCAGGCAGGAGCUUUGCCAAAGGGUCCCCAUGCCCCCUAAUAACCCCACAGUUUAAUGUGAAGCUCAAUGUAAUACGUUGGGUAAAAAAACCGAACAACUGUUAACAAUGGAUAUCUUGGUUCUC